UACGUAGGGACCGAGCGUUGUCCGGAAUCAUUGGGCGUAAAGAGCGUGUAGGCGGCCUUUUAAGUCCUGCGUGAAAUCCUGCGGCUCAACCGCAGACGGUCGUGGGAAACUGGAAGGCUAGAGUGCGGGAGAGGAGAGUGGAAUUCCCGGUGUAGCGGUGAAAUGCGCAGAUAUCGGGAAGAACACCCGUGGCGAAGGCGGCUCUCUGGAACGCAACUGACGCUGAGACGCGAAAGCGUGGGGAGCAAACAGGG
rnacentral:rRNA from 1 species